UACAGAGGGUGCAAGCGUUGCUCGGAAUCAUUGGGCGUAAAGGGCAGGUAGGUGGUCUCAUUUGUCUGAGGUGAAAUCCUGGGGCUUAACCCCAGAAGUGCCUCGGAAACGGUGGGACUCGAGUGCUGGAGAGGGUCGUAGAAUUCCCGGUGUAGCGGUGAAAUGCGUAGAGAUCGGGAGGAAUACCAGAGGCGAAGGCGACGACCUGGACAGUGACUGACACUCAACUGCGAAAGCGUGGGGAGCAAACAGG
rnacentral:rRNA from 1 species